rnacentral:rRNA from 1 species
CCUACGGGUGGCAGCAGUGGGGAAUAUUGCACAAUGGGGGAAACCCUGAUGCAGCGAAGCCGCGUGAGUGAAGAAGUAUCUCGGUACGUAAAGCUCUAUCAGCAGGGAAGAAAAUGACGGUACCUGACUAAGAAGCCCCGGAUAACUACGUGCCAGCAGCCGCGGUAAUACGUAGGGGGCCAGCGUUAUACGGAUUUACUGGGUGUAAAGGGAGCGUAGACGGGAGCACAAGUCUGGAGUUAAAUCCCGGGGCUUAACCCCGGAACUGCUUUGGAAACUGUGCGGCUGGAGUGCAGGAGGGGUAUGCGGAAUGCGUGGUGUAGCGGUGAAAUGCGUAGAUAUUAGGAGGAACUCCGGUGGCGAAGGCGGCUUACUGGACUGUAACUGACGUUGAGGCUCGAAAGCGUGGGUAGCAAACAGGAUUAGAUACCCCAGUAGUC